rnacentral:rRNA from 1 species
GAUGAACGCUGGCGGCGUGCCUAAUACAUGCAAGUCGAGCGAAUGGAUUAAGAGCUUGCUCUUAUGAAGUUAGCGGCGGACGGGUGAGUAACACGUGGGUAACCUGCCCAUAAGACUGGGAUAACUCCGGGAAACCGGGGCUAAUACCGGAUAACAUUUUGAACCGCAUGGUUCGAAAUUGAAAGGCGGCUUCGGCUGUCACUUAUGGAUGGACCCGCGUCGCAUUAGCUAGUUGGUGAGGUAACGGCUCACCAAGGCAACGAUGCGUAGCCGACCUGGAGGGGUGAUCGGCCACACUGGGACUGAGACACGGCCCAGACUCCUACGGGAGGCAGCAGUAGGGAAUCUUCCGCAAUGGACGAAAGUCUGACGGAGCAACGCCGCGUGAGUGAUGAAGGCUUUCGGGUCGUAAAACUCUGUUGUUAGGGAAGAACAAGUGCUAGUUGAAUAAGCUGGCACCUUGACGGUACCUAACCAGAAAGCCACGGCUAACUACGUGCCAGCAGCCGCCGUAA